rnacentral:rRNA from 2 species
CUUGCUUCUCGGGGUUGUAGGACUGGACAUUGGAGUUACCAAAGUUCGACGUAGUCGAAGUCAGCUGGAAAGCUGCGCCAUAGAAGGUGAAAGCCCUGUAAACGAAACGGCGGACUCUCCGUCCAGGAUCCUGAGUACGGCGGAACACGUGAAAUUCCGUCGGAAUCCGGGAGGACCAUCUCCCAAGGCUAAAUACUCCCUAGUGACCGAUAGUGAACCAGUACCGUGAGGGAAAGGUGAAAAGCACCCCGGAAGGGGAGUGAAACAGUUCCUGAAACCGUGUGCCUACAAUUAGUCAAAGCCCGUUAACGGGUAAUGGCGUGCCUUUUGUAGAAUGAACCGGCGAGUUACGUUUGCCUGCNAGGUUAAGAUGAAAAGUCGGAGCCGGAGCGAAAGCGAGUCUGAACAGGGCGUUUCAGUAGGUAGAUGUAGACCCGAAACCAAGUGACCUACCCAUGACCAGGUUGAAGGUGUGGUGAAACACACUGGAGGACCGAACCCAUGUAUGUUGAAAAAUGCUGGGAUGAGUUGUGGGUAGCGGUGAAAUUCCAAACGAACUUGGAGAUAGCUGGUUCUCUCCGAAAUAGCUUUAGGGUUAGCCUCGGAGGAUGGAUCAUGGAGGUAGAGCACUGUUUGAACUAGGGGCCCGUCAAGGGUUACUGAAUUCAGAUAAACUCCGAAUACCAUUGAUCUUACUCCGGGAGUCAGACAGUGAGCGAUAAGGUCCAUUGUCGAAAGGGGAACAGCCCAGAUCACCAGUUAAGGUCCCUAAAUUUAUGCUAAGUGGAAAAGGAUGUGGCGUUGCACAGACAACUAGGAUGUUGGCUCAGAAGCAGCCACCAUUUAAAGAGUGCGUAAUAGCUCACUAGUCGAGUGGCACUGCGCCGAAAAUAUACCGGGGCUAAGCAUAAUACCGAAACUGUGGGUGCACCCGUCAGGGUGCGCGGUAGGAGAGCGUUCUAAGGGCGUUGAAGGUCGAUCGUGAGGACGGCUGGAGCGCUUAGAAGUGAGAAUGCCGGCAUGAGUAGCGAAAGAUCAGUGAGAAUCUGAUCCACCGUAUGACUAAGGUUUCCUGGGGAAGGCUCGUCCUCCCAGGGUUAGUCGGGAUCUAAGGCGAGGCCGCAAGGCGUAGUCGAUGACAAGCAGGUUGAGAUUCCUGCACUAGUUUAUUUUGUUUAAGCGAUGGAGGGACGCAGGAGGCUAAGGAAAGCGCACGGCUGGAAAAGUGCGUCCAAGCAGUAAGUCCGGUAGCGAGUGAAAUGCUUGCCGCCUUAAGGACAAGCUGUGAUGGGGAGCGAAAUUAAAGUAGCGAAGUUCCUGAUGUCACACUGCCAAGAAAAGCUUCUAGUGAGAAAUAAACUACCCGUACCGCAAACCGACACAGGUAGUCGAGGAGAGUAUCCUCAGGUGAGCGAGCGAACUCUCGUUAAGGAACUCGGCAAAAUGACCCCGUAACUUCGGAAGAAGGGGUGCUGACCGCAAGGUCAGCCGCAGUGAAUAGGCCCAAACAACUGUUUAUCAAAAACACAGGUCUCUGCUAAAUCGUAAGAUGAUGUAUAGGGGCUGACGCCUGCCCGGUGCUGGAAGGUUAAGAGGAUGAGUUAGCGCAAGCGAAGCCCAGAAUUGAAGCCCCAGUAAACGGCGGCCGUAACUAUAACGGUCCUAAGGUAGCGAAAUUCCUUGUCGGGUAAGUUCCGACCCGCACGAAAGGCGUAAUGAUUUGGGCACUGUCUCAACGAGAGACUCGGUGAAAUUAUAGUACCCGUGAAGAUGCGGGUUACCCGCGACAGGACGGAAAGACCCCAUGGAGCUUUACUGUAGCUUGAUAUUGAGUGUUGGUACCGCUUGUACAGGAUAGGUAGGAGCCGUAGAGAUCGGAACGCUAGUUUCGAUGGAGGCAUUGGUGGGAUACUACCCUAGCUGUAUGAACACUCUAACCCGCGCCACUAAUCGUGGCGGGAGACAGUGUCAGGUAGGCAGUUUGACUGGGGCGGUCGCCUCCUAAAAUGUAACGGAGGCGCGGAAAGGUUCCCUCAGAAUGGUUGGAAAUCAUUCGCAGAGUGUAAAGGUAGAAGGGAGCUUGACUGCGAGACUGACAAGUCGAGCAGGGACGAAAGUCGGGCUUAGUGAUCCGGUGGUUCCGUAUGGAAGGGCCAUCGCUCAACGGAUAAAAGCUACCCUGGGGAUAACAGGCUUAUCUCCCCCAAGAGUCCACAUCGACGGGGAGGUUUGGCACCUCGAUGUCGGCUCAUCGCAUCCUGGGGCUGUAGUCGGUCCCAAGGGUUGGGCUGUUCGCCCAUUAAAGCGGUACGCGAGCUGGGUUCAGAACGUCGUGAGACAGUUCGGUCCCUAUCCGUCGCGGGCGCAGGAAAUUUGAGAGGAGCUGUCCUUAGUACGAGAGGACCGGGAUGGACGUUCCGCUGGUGUACCAGUUGUGCCGCCAGGCGCA